rnacentral:rRNA from 1 species
UACGUAGGGGCCUAGCGUUGUCCGGAUUUAUUGGGCGUAAAGAGCUCGUAGGCGGUUCGGUAAGUCAGGGGUGAAAUCCCGGGGCUCAACCUCGGAACUGCCUUUGAUACUGCGGGUCUUGAGUCCGAUAGAGGUGGGUGGAAUUCCUAGUGUAGAGGUGAAAUUCGUAGAUAUUAGGAAGAACACCGGUGGCGAAGGCGGCCCACUGGAUCGGUACUGACGCUGAGGUGCGAAAGCGUGGGGAGCAAACAGG